rnacentral:rRNA from 1 species
UGGGGAAUUUUGGACAAUGGGCGAAAGCCUGAUCCAGCAAUGCCGCGUGUGUGAAGAAGGCCUUCGGGUUGUAAAGCACUUUUGUCCGGAAAGAAAUCCUUGGCUCUAAUACAGUCGGGGGAUGACGGUACCGGAAGAAUAAGCACCGGCUAACUACGUGCCAGCAGCCGCGGUAAUACGUAGGGUGCAAGCGUUAAUCGGAAUUACUGGGCGUAAAGCGUGCGCAGGCGGUUUGCUAAGACCGAUGUGAAAAUCCCCGGGCUAAACCUGGGGAAACUGCAUUGGUGACUGGCAGGCUAGAGUAUGGCAGAGGGGGGUAGAAUUCCACGUGUAGCAGUGAAAAUGCGUAGAGAUGUGGAGGAAUACGAUGGCGAAGGCAGCCCCCUGGGCCAAUACUGACGCUCAUGCACGAAAAGCGUGGGGAGCAAAACAGGAUUAGAUACCCUGGUAGUCCACGCCCU